rnacentral:rRNA from 1 species
AUUGAACGCUGGCGGCAGGCCUAACACAUGCAAGUCGAGCGGAUGAAGGGAGCUUGCUCCUGGAUUCAGCGGCGGACGGGUGAGUAAUGCCUAGGAAUCUGCCUGGUAGUGGGGGAUAACGUCCGGAAACGGGCGCUAAUACCGCAUACGUCCUGAGGGAGAAGGUGGGGGAUCUUCGGACCUCACGCUAUCAGAUGAGCCUAGGUCGGAUUAGCUAGUUGGUGGGGUAAAGGCCUACCAAGGCGACGAUCCGUAACUGGUCUGAGAGGAUGAUCAGUCACACUGGAACUGAGACACGGUCCAGACUCCUACGGGAGGCAGCAGUGGGGAAUAUUGGACAAUGGGCGAAAGCCUGAUCCAGCCAUGCCGCGUGUGUGAAGAAGGUCUUCGGAUUGUAAAGCACUUUAAGUUGGGAGGAAGGGCAGUAAGUUAAUACCUUGCUGCUUUGACGUUACCAACAGAAUAAGCACCGGCUAACUUCGUG